UUAAAAAAAAAAUUAAAAAUUAAUAUAAUACACAAAAAACCAAAGAGAUGUUUUGAGUAGAAUGUUAAAAUAAAGAGUAAAGGUCAUUAAGGCCCAAUAAUUGGAUGCAAUUGUGAUUAAUGAUAAUAGUUUAAUAAAGCUGUCGUUUCGUUUUGUUUCCGGGAAAUUGGAAACGCAGAUUUUUAAAUUAAAUUUGAAAUAAGAAGACGACGUCGUCGCAUAGAAUUUGAAAGGUAGUAUAGUCUUACUUACCGAUGGGAAGGAGAAACGCGCAG
rnacentral:misc_RNA from 1 species